rnacentral:rRNA from 1 species
UGAGUAACCUGCCCUUAACUCUGGGAUAAGCCUGGGAAACUGGGUCUAAUACCGGAUAUGACUCCUCAUCGCAUGGUGGGGGGUGGAAAGCUUUAUUGUGGUUUUGGAUGGACUCGCGGCCUAUCAGCUUGUUGGUGAGGUAAUGGCUCACCAAGGCGACGACGGGUAGCCGGCCUGAGAGGGUGACCGGCCACACUGGGACUGAGACACGGCCCAGACCUCCGUACGGGAGCAG